rnacentral:rRNA from 1 species
GCUUAGCCCUUAACAUAGACAAUACAAACACAAAAUUGUCCGCCGGAGAACUACAAGUGAAAAACUCGAAACUCCAAGGACUUGGCGGUGCCCCAUACCGACCUAGAGGAGCCUGUCCUGUAAUCGAUAAUCCACGCUGUACCUUACCAUUUCUAGCAAUUCAGCCUAUAUACCGCCGUCGAAAGCCUACCUUAUGAAAGAAACAAAGUAAGCAAAAUAGUCAACAACUAAAACGUCAGGUCAAGGUGUAGCACAUGAAAUGGAAGAGAUGGGCUACAUUUUCUGCUUCAGAAAACACGAACAGCACAAUGAAACCUGUACUCAAAGGAGGAUUUAGCAGUAAGACAAAAAAGAAAUUUUGCCUAAAACCCGCU